rnacentral:rRNA from 1 species
CGUACACGGUGGAUGCCCUGGCAGUCAGAGGCGAUGAAGGACGUGCUAAUCUGCGAUAAGCGCCGGUAAGGUGAUAUGAACCGUUAUAACCGGCGAUUUCCGAAUGGGGAAACCCAGUGUGACUCGUCACACUAUCAUUAACUGAAUCCAUAGGUUAAUGAGGCGAACCGGGGGAACUGAAACAUCUAAGUACCCCGAGGAAAAGAAAUCAACCGAGAUUCCCCCAGUAGCGGCGAGCGAACGGGGAGGAGCCCAGAGCCUGAAUCAGCAUGUGUGUUAGUGGAAGCGUCUGGAAAGGCGCGCGAUACAGGGUGACAGCCCCGUACACAAAAGCGCAUGUGCUGUGAGCUCGAUGAGUAGGGCGGGACACGUGGUAUCCUGUCUGAAUAUGGGGGGACCAUCCUCCAAGGCUAAAUACUCCUGACUGACCGAUAGUGAACCAGUACCGUGAGGGAAAGGCGAAAAGAACCCCGGCGAGGGGAGUGAAAAAGAACCUGAAACCGUGUACGUACAAGCAGUGGGAGCACCCUUCGGGGUGUGACUGCGUACCUUUUGUAUAAUGGGUCAGCGACUUAUAUUCUGUAGCAAGGUUAACCGUAUAGGGGAGCCGUAGGGAAACCGAGUCUUAACCGGGCGUUAAGUUGCAGGGUAUAGACCCGAAACCCGGUGAUCUAGCCAUGGGCAGGUUGAAGGUUGGGUAACACUAACUGGAGGACCGAACCGACUAAUGUUGAAAAAUUAGCGGAUGACCUGUGGCUGGGGGUGAAAGGCCAAUCAAACCGGGAGAUAGCUGGUUCUCCCCGAAAGCUAUUUAGGUAGCGCCUCGUGAAUUCAUCUCCGGGGGUAGAGCACUGUUUCGGCUAGGGGGCCAUCCCGGCUUACCAACCCGAUGCAAACUGCGAAUACCGGAGAAUGUUAUCACGGGAGACACACGGCGGGUGCUAACGUCCGUCGUGAAGAGGGAAACAACCCAGACCGCCAGCUAAGGUCCCAAAGUCAUAGUUAAGUGGGAAACGAUGUGGGAAGGCCCAGACAGCCAGGAUGUUGGCUUAGAAGCAGCCAUCAUUUAAAGAAAGCGUAAUAGCUCACUGGUCGAGUCGGCCUGCGCGGAAGAUGUAACGGGGCUAAACUAUGCACCGAAGCUGCGGCAGCGACACUAUGUGUUGUUGGGUAGGGGAGCGUUCUGUAAGCCUGUGAAGGUGUGUCGUGAGGCAUGCUGGAGGUAUCAGAAGUGCGAAUGCUGACAUAAGUAACGAUAAAGCGGGUGAAAAGCCCGCUCGCCGGAAGACCAAGGGUUCCUGUCCAACGUUAAUCGGGGCAGGGUGAGUCGACCCCUAAGGCGAGGCCGAAAGGCGUAGUCGAUGGGAAACGGGUUAAUAUUCCCGUACUUGGUGUUACUGCGAAGGGGGGACGGAGAAGGCUAUGUUGGCCGGGCGACGGUUGUCCCGGUUUAAGCGUGUAGGUGUGUGUUCCAGGUAAAUCCGGUUCACUUUAACACUGAGGCGUGAUGACGAGGCACUACGGUGCUGAAGCAACAAAUGCCCUGCUUCCAGGAAAAGCCUCUAAGCAUCAGGUAACAUCAAAUCGUACCCCAAACCGACACAGGUGGUCAGGUAGAGAAUACCAAGGCGCUUGAGAGAACUCGGGUGAAGGAACUAGGCAAAAUGGUGCCGUAACUUCGGGAGAAGGCACGCUGACACGUAGGUGAAGUGAUUUACUCAUGGAGCUGAAGUCAGUCGAAGAUACCAGCUGGCUGCAACUGUUUAUUAAAAACACAGCACUGUGCAAACACGAAAGUGGACGUAUACGGUGUGACGCCUGCCCGGUGCCGGAAGGUUAAUUGAUGGGGUCAGCGCAAGCGAAGCUCCUGAUCGAAGCCCCGGUAAACGGCGGCCGUAACUAUAACGGUCCUAAGGUAGCGAAAUUCCUUGUCGGGUAAGUUCCGACCUGCACGAAUGGCGUAAUGAUGGCCAGGCUGUCUCCACCCGAGACUCAGUGAAAUUGAACUCGCUGUGAAGAUGCAGUGUACCCGCGGCAAGACGGAAAGACCCCGUGAACCUUUACUAUAGCUUGACACUGAACAUUGAGCCUUGAUGUGUAGGAUAGGUGGGAGGCUUUGAAGUGUGGACGCCAGUCUGCAUGGAGCCGACCUUGAAAUACCACCCUUUAAUGUUUGAUGUUCUAACGUGGACCCGUGAUCCGGGUUGCGGACAGUGUCUGGUGGGUAGUUUGACUGGGGCGGUCUCCUCCUAAAGAGUAACGGAGGAGCACGAAGGUUGGCUAAUCCUGGUCGGACAUCAGGAGGUUAGUGCAAUGGCAUAAGCCAGCUUGACUGCGAGCGUGACGGCGCGAGCAGGUGCGAAAGCAGGUCAUAGUGAUCCGGUGGUUCUGAAUGGAAGGGCCAUCGCUCAACGGAUAAAAGGUACUCCGGGGAUAACAGGCUGAUACCGCCCAAGAGUUCAUAUCGACGGCGGUGUUUGGCACCUCGAUGUCGGCUCAUCACAUCCUGGGGCUGAAGUAGGUCCCAAGGGUAUGGCUGUUCGCCAUUUAAAGUGGUACGCGAGCUGGGUUUAGAACGUCGUGAGACAGUUCGGUCCCUAUCUGCCGUGGGCGCUGGAGAACUGAGGGGGGCUGCUCCUAGUACGAGAGGACCGGAGUGGACGCAUCACUGGUGUUCGGGUUGUCAUGCCAAUGGCACUGCCCGGUAGCUAAAUGCGGAAGAGAUAAGUGCUGAAAGCAUCUAAGCACGAAACUUGCCCCGAG